AUCUGUGCGCAGUUUUGAUUGCUGUCUGGGUUACAGCUACACGUGCCGAGCCGAUUGAUGGGAAACGUUGUGAAGUCUCGGGAAUGAUAUUGGACAGGCCUAUUCAACUGAGUGUACUUCGAUUUAUCGUCGUCAGUCGACGUUGCCAUGGGCUAGAACAAAUUACGCAAGCACUAAAGAUACGGAAAUAAAUUAUAUACUCGUACUUAAUUGAUUUGGAUCUUGGUCUAGGAUUUAGUCUACCGACGAAACUAUAGAAAUGACUUGAAAUAUCAUUUGAUAUUUACCAGUCGCUUUUCGGUGAAGGAAAACAUCGUGAGGAAACCGGACGAAUCCCCACAAGGCCUAGUUUUACCCUCUGGGUUGGAAGGUCAGAUGGCAGUCGCUUUUGUAAAAAAUAGUGCCUACGCCAAAUCUAGGGAUUAGUUGUCAAGCGGACCCUAGGCUCCCACGAGCCGUGGCAAUAUGCCGGGACAACGCAAGGAGGAAGAAGGGAAAACAUCUUACAAAGCUACAAAAAUCAUGAAAUUAUUUCUCAUUGCGGCAUUAAAUUAGUCUAGUCUGAGUAAUAAAAAUACACUGAUACAUAUUAUACCUACCUAAUUAUACAGUAAUCUUAUACCGUCUGGCUGUAAAAAUAAUAACAUUUUUAUAUUUUGUGGCUUCAGUUAAUCAAGAACUAAAUAAUUACAAGUCAUCUACCUAUCAUUUAAAAUAUAACAAAAUAGUUUCAAUCGUAUGAGUACAGACAGUUUAUCUGUAUCACUGCAAUACGUUCAAUAAUUAGGGUAAAAUAUAAAUAAGUAAUUAACGCUGAUGAUUAGGGCCGUGACAUCAUCGGGGAAGUAGGUCGCCGGUCCUCCCACAGCGAAGGUCGGAUAUUAUAAAUGGUUUCCGUGUGUGGUGCCGAUACGUUACCCAAUAGGUUUGUGGAAUCUGUGGUGUACAGAGAAACUAGGAUUAUAGAACAGGUUUAUUGACAGUAGAAAAGGUUGAAGUAAUGUCAAAAAUAAUAGCAUGCCAUUGAGUACUGUUGGGCAGUCGGAAAGUUUCCAAAAUAGCGAAUUACCGAAACUUCUUAUAUUUAUGUAUGGGGAUUAAAAAUUGCCGUUUGAUAAAUGAAAGUUUUCUCAAUUUCCUAUGAAAUUUCCAUGAUUUUUUUCAAUGUGUGAAUUUUCCACCACCCACACAUCUGUAUCUUUGGGUUUGACAGAUGAGCUAGACGGUAUUUUACGGAACCAUAUGUUUUGUGGUAGCCGACUUAUCAAACGUAGUUACCGCGUAACGUACGGGGUCAUACAGCGCCAUCUAGUUUUUCUUUGACUUACAACUCAUUUACUAUGAAUAACUCUUUAGUUUUAGUGAUUUUAGAACGAAAUAUACAAAUUAACGUUGUUUGUUGGAAAGCCAAUUAGUGCGAAUUAUAUUUCUUCAACUAAGUAGGAUUCUAGCAUUUUAUUAUUUAUAAUUUAACAAUUAAAUACGUCAUCUACGAAAUUGCGGUGAUAGCCCGAAUUACUCCAUUGCGAUCCCUAGAAUGUGGUCCUAUAAAGGUUUAGUUUUAAUCCGAUCCUUUGUGUGUAGAUCCCAAAUUAAUUGUAAUUAAGAGGGAAUUAUACCAUGUGAUAGUCCAUACAAACAGAGAAAACGUUUUAGCAUUUCUAAAUAUUUUCCUUUCUCCAUUAUUUUUUUGUAGUUUAUGUAUGCAAUGAAUAACUAGGUUUAUAGGUUUUCCUUUUUUUUCAAAAUUUGCAAACCAAACUGAAGCGAUCGACAUCAAAAUCAAAAUGAUUUGUUAAGAGUUAAUUAGUGGAAAACGUUUUCUCCCGAAAUGAUUUCAUAGAAAAAGUAC